CUAAUUCUAGUUUAUGAUAAUAUAAUCAUCUUAUUAUUUGUAUUUUAUUUUGAAUCUUGAUAAAGCACUAGAACAUGUUGAAGCAGUUAAAUUUAUGCAUCUGCUUUCUUCAAAUGGUUUCAGCAAAAAAAUUUCUUAUUCAGACAGCAGAUACACAGGCAAUGAAUAGUUAUGGAGACAUAAUGCUACCUGGAUAUUUACCUGGAUAUUCAGCCCUUGGAGACGAUUACUUUUUAUUUCUGGGGGGUUUGGCCUUUGGAGGUUUGGGAGGCUGGGGAGG